GCCGUAACGUGCGCGUGUAAUUCCGGCUAUUCUGGCGAUUCAUGUGAAACAGCUGAUUGUCUUGACGAUUCGUGUACAAGUAGAGGAACAUGUACUCCUGGAUCAGACGCCGUAACGUGCGCGUGUAAUUCCGGCUAUUUUGGCGAUUCAUGUGAAACAGCUGAUUGUCUUGACGAUUCGUGUACGAGUACACGUAGA